rnacentral:hammerhead_ribozyme from 1 species
AUUCAGCUGACGAGUCCUAAAUAGGACGAAACGCGCAUCAUGGAU